UGAUUUACGCCAGCUGCCCUUCAGAGUUUGAUCCUGGCUCAGAUUGAACGCUAGCGGGAUGCUUUACACAUGCAAGUCGAACGGCAGCACGAAAGAGCUUGCUCUUUUGGUGGCGAGUGGCGGACGGGUGAGUAAUGUAUCGGAACGUGCCCAGUAGCGGGGGAUAACUACUCGAAAGAGUAGCUAAUACCGCAUACGCCCUACGGGGGAAAGGGGGGGAUUCUUCGGAACCUCUCACUAUUGGAGCGGCCGAUAUCGGAUUAGCUAGUUGGUGGGGUAAAGGCUCACCAAGGCAACGAUCCGUAGCUGGUUUGAGAGGACGACCAGCCACACUGGGACUGAGACACGGCCCAGACUCCUACGGGAGGCAGCAGUGGGGAAUUUUGGACAAUGGGGGAAACCCUGAUCCAGCCAUCCCGCGUGUAUGAUGAAGGCCUUCGGGUUGUAAAGUACUUUUGGCAGAGAAGAAAAGGCGCUUCCUAAUACGAGGCGCUGCUGACGGUAUCUGCAGAAUAAGCACCGGCUAACUACGUGCCAGCAGCCGCGGUAAUACGUAGGGUGCAAGCGUUAAUCGGAAUUACUGGGCGUAAAGCGUGUGUAGGCGGUUCGGAAAGAAAGAUGUGAAAUCCCAGGGCUCAACCUUGGAACUGCAUUUUUAACUGCCGAGCUAGAGUAUGUCAGAGGGGGGUAGAAUUCCACGUGUAGCAGUGAAAUGCGUAGAGAUGUGGAGGAAUACCGAUGGCGAAGGCAGCCCCCUGGGAUAAUACUGACGCUCAGACACGAAAGCGUGGGGAGCAAACAGGAUUAGAUACCCUGGUAGUCCACGCCCUAAACGAUGUCAACUAGCUGUUGGGGCCAAUAGGCCUUAGUAGCGCAGCUAACGCGUGAAGUUGACCGCCUGGGGAGUACGGUCGCAAGAUUAAAACUCAAAGGAAUUGACGGGGACCCGCACAAGCGGUGGAUGAUGUGGAUUAAUUCGAUGCAACGCGAAAAACCUUACCUACCCUUGACAUGUCUGGAAAGUCUAAGAGAUUAGACCGUGCUCGCAAGAGAACCAGAACACAGGUGCUGCAUGGCUGUCGUCAGCUCGUGUCGUGAGAUGUUGGGUUAAGUCCCGCAACGAGCGCAACCCUUGUCAUUAGUUGCUACGCAAGAGCACUCUAAUGAGACUGCCGGUGACAAACCGGAGGAAGGUGGGGAUGACGUCAAGUCCUCAUGGCCCUUAUGGGUAGGGCUUCACACGUCAUACAAUGGUCAGGACAGAGGGUCGCCAACCCGCGAGGGGGAGCCAAUCCCAGAAACCUGAUCGUAGUCCGGAUCGCAGUCUGCAACUCGACUGCGUGAAGUCGGAAUCGCUAGUAAUCGCGGAUCAGAAUGUCGCGGUGAAUACGUUCCCGGGUCUUGUACACACCGCCCGUCACACCAUGGGAGUGGGUUCCACCAGAAGUAGGUAGCCUAACCGUAAGGAGGGCGCUUACCACGGUGGGAUUCAUGACUGGGGUGAAGUCGUAACAAGGUAGCCGUAUCGGAAGGUGCGGCUGGAUCACCUCCUAAGGGCAG
rnacentral:rRNA from 1 species